rnacentral:ncRNA from 1 species
GAACGUUGAAGCGGUUGGCGUUCCGAUUGCGUUGGGCCGUGGAGUUCUCGGAGGGGUUUUGCAACAACCUCAAGUCGGAUAGGCUGAAAGGCCGAAAGAAAAUGCAACGA